rnacentral:rRNA from 1 species
UACGAAGGGGCUAGCGUUGCUCGGAAUGACUGGGCGUAAAGGGCGCGUAGGCGGAUGGUACAGUCAGAUGUGAAAUUCCUGGGCUUAACCUGGGGGCUGCAUUUGAUACGUGCUGUCUGGAGUGAGGAAGGAGGUCGUGGAAUUCCCAGUGUAGAAGGUGAAAUUCGUAGAUAUUGGGAAGAACACCGGUGGCGAAGGCGGCUCACUGGCCCGGUACUGACGCUGAGGUGCGAAAGCGUGGGGAGCAAACAGGA